GUAUAUAGAAUGUGAGGGAGUAGUCCUUCUGGGCUCUGUCCUACUCAGAUUUUUAUCGAAAUAUGGUGUUCAAUUCAAUUUUAGGAAGAAAAUUGAGAAAGAAGAAUGGAAAGGGAAAUGUCCAGAAUGUCUAAGACCUCAAUGCUAUACCAUGAGAUGAUGGAUCAAAGAAUAAGAUGUGUUUAAUCUGGAGAAGAAAAGCCUUAUUGGAAAGAUUAUUGCUCUCUUCAAAUAUUUUAAAGGCUGUCAUAUGGAAGUGAAUUAGCCUGUAUGACUCUAGUGGGAAGAUAGUAGCAACAAACAGAGAUUAAGAAAUAAAAUUACAUUCAAGAGAUUGGCAGAGAAUAAUCAAAGUGAAGAGGAGGACACUGAGGAUCCCGAUGCAGCACACGAGUACAGCGUACAUGUAGAGAUCUGAAAAGACAGCACAAAGGGGUCAUGAGGAGGUCUCAGGAGACCAAGUAAUACCAUCUCCCAGUGAGGGAAACCUCAACUUCAAAGGCUCCUAAUGAAACAUCAAAAAGAG